rnacentral:rRNA from 1 species
AUUGAACGCUGGCGGCAGGCCUAACACAUGCAAGUCGAGCGGUAGCACAGGGAGCUUGCUCUCGGGUGACGAGCGGCGGACGGGUGAGUAAUGUCUGGGAAACUGCCUGAUGGAGGGGGAUAACUACUGGAAACGGUAGCUAAUACCGCAUAACGUCGCAAGACCAAAGAGGGGGACCUUCGGGCCUCUUGCCAUCAGAUGUGCCCAGAUGGGAUUAGCUAGUAGGUAGGGUAACGGCUCACCUAGGCGACGAUCCCUAGCUGGUCUGAGAGGAUGACCAGCCACACUGGAACUGAGACACGGUCCAGACUCCUACGGGAGGCAGCAGUGGGGAAUAUUGCACAAUGGGCGCAAGCCUGAUGCAGCCAUGCCGCGUGUAUGAAGAAGGCCUUCGGGUUGUAAAGUACUUUCAGCGGGGAGGAAGGUGUUGAGGUUAAUAACCUCAGCAAUUGACGUUACCCGCAGAAGAAGCACCGGCUAACUCCGUGCCAGCAGCCGCGGUAA